rnacentral:rRNA from 1 species
AUUCCUACGGGAGGCAGCAGUGAGGAAUAUUGCGCAAUGGAGGCAACUCUGACGCAGCCAUGCCGCGUGCAGGAAGAAGGCGCUACGCGUUGUAAACUGCUUUUAACCGGGAAGAAACCCCAGGACGUGUCCUGGGUUGACGGUACCGGAGGAAUAAGCACCGGCUAACUUCGUGCCAGCAGCCGCGGUAAUAAUCUCUAGAG